AUUCACCUGCCAUGUCCGUGAGCUUCAUUUUUGUUUUGAACCUUAAUCAAGAAAAGGGAGCCUCAAAUCGAUCUUUGGACAGUAUGCCACUAUAUGUGGACACUGAAAAAAGCUCUGCGGGCACCCACCUGCGAAAGUAGGUUCUUGAACGAUGGGAGUAACGGCAUAUGCGGGGAAUU
rnacentral:other from 1 species